AUGGAGGCCGUGGCGGCGAGCGUCGUGACAGGAGCGAUGCGGAUCCUCCUGCCCAAGCUCGGCGCCCUGCUGGAGAAGAAGUACAAGCUGUCCAAGAGCGUGAAGAAGGAGAUCGCCUCCUUGAGCCACGAGAUGAGCAGCAUGAGCGCUCUGCUCGUGAAGCUAGCCGAGGCGGACGGCGGCGAGCUCGACGUGCAAGACAGGGUGUGGCGCGACCAGGUGCGCGAGCUGUCCUACGAAAUGGAGGACUGCGUCGACGCCUUCACGGACGACCUUGGCAGCGGCGGCGCCAGGGCCGGGCUCUUGAACGGGCUCAUGAAGCUCAAGGCGCGGUACAAGACUGCCCGCUGGAUCGAAGAACUGAAGUCUCGGGUGGUGGAAGUGAACAAGCGCCACAACAGAUACAAGCUUGAUGACCGGGUUGGUUCUUCUUGUCAGAGCCCUGUGGCCAUUGAUCCUCGGCUACCUGCACUCCAUACGGAGGCAGCCAGCCUUGUCGGCAUAGACGGCCCCAAGGAGAAGCUCGUCGACCUGUUGCUGGGAGAGGAGGAGGAAGAUGGCAAUCACCGGGCACUCAAAGUUGUAGCCAUCACGGGGUUUGGAGGUAUUGGCAAGACAACUCUCGCCAGCCAGGUCCGAGAUAAGAUCAAAGGCCACUUUGAACGCACAGCCUUCGUAUCGGUGUCGCAAAAUCCAAGCAUGAUCGACAUCUUGUUGGAUAUACUCUCACAAAUUGGGGGCUUCUUGCAUUCAUCGAUGAAUAAUAAUGUACCCCGACUCAUCAGCACACUGAAGGCACGUCUCGAUAGCAAGAGAUACCUUAUUGUCAUUGAUGAUAUAUGGACAAUACAAGCAUGGAAUACUAUUAAAUGUGCCUUUGUGGAGAAUAACCUUGCUAGUAGAGUUAUAACAACUACACGUAUUGAAGACAUAGCUCAAGCAUGUUGUUCUUGUUUCCGUGGCCAUGUCUACAAGAUGAAACCACUUAAUAAUCUUGACUCAAGGAGAUUAUUUCAUAGAAGGAUUUUCCCCUCCGAAGAUGCUUGUCCGGAGAAACUAAAGAAUGUUUCUAAUGAAAUUCUAAAUAAAUGUGAAGGAGUUCCGUUAGUUAUAGUAAGUGUAGCUAGCAUUUUGGCUAGUCAUAGAGAGGUAAACUCAAAGGAAUUCUGGGAGAAGAUACAAAAUUAUUUAGGUUUCCAAUUGGAAGGAAACCAUGAUUUGGAAUGGCUGAGACAUGUGCUUAAUCUUGGUUACAUUAAUUUAUCUUUGGACCUUCGGACAUGUAUGCUUUAUCUCGGUAUAUUCCCAGAAAAUUCUGAAAUAAUGAAGGAUGAUUUAGUGAAGAGAUGGAUAGCCGAGGGUCUCGUUCCUGAAAGGCUUGGUUAUGGUCAAGAGGAGACCGCAGAAGAUUUCUUUAAUGAGCUGAUCAAUAGAAACAUGAUCCAAAUAGCAGAGUUUGAUGACUGUGGGCAUGUGUUAUCUUGUCGGGUGCAUGAUGUGAUGCUUGACUUUAUCGUAUGGAAGUCCACGGAAGAAAAUUUCAUCAAUAUAAUUAAGGGAACCCCUACAGUUAAUGAUCCGCAAUACAUGAAAGGGUGUUUGCAGGUUCGUCGGUUAUCCCUACAAGUUAGAAAACCGGAACACAUGGAAUUGCUGGGAAGCAUGGCUCUCACGCAGGCCAGAUCAUUUAACUUUUGGGGGUCUGUUCAAUGGAUGCCCUCUCUGUCUAGGUUUCAACUCCUGCGAGUCCUGCAUCUUGACCUUGGUGUUUAUGAUUCCAAAAAUGAGCAGUGUCUGUCUUUCAUUGGCAGUUUUACCCGACUGAGGUAUUUGAGGAUCAUAGGUGCCGUCUUUAAGAAAGUGCAGAAAGAAAUGCAAAAAUUACAACAUUUGAAGACAUUGGAGAUAGUUGGUGAAAAAAGAGUUGGCCAAGACAGAGAGGAGUUUUUACAAUCUUUACACCUAGAGCUCAAUGUCAGCAAGUUACCAUCGAUGCUGUGGCAUCUGAUUGUUCCAUGCACUGUGAAGCUGCCUGGUGAGAUCAGCAGGAUGAGUGCCCUCCGCACUCUGGGCGAACUCAGCAUAGAUCUCCAAGAUGUGGAGAACAUCAAAGGCCUCGGUGAACUGGAAGAUCUGAGGGACCUGAAGAUACUUGUAGAAAAAGGUGUCCGGGAAGGCGAUUGUGCUGAUCUUGUUCCUUCCCUGAGCAGGCUCAAACGCCUUGAGUCCCUAACCAUCCGUAUGGCUGGAUCCGUCAAAAUUAUUGAUGUCCUGACUUGCUGGUCUCCACCUUCUCCCCAUCUUCGAAGACUACAUGUGCUGGGGCUCCCCUUCUCCACUGUCCACCAAAACUGGAUUAGCCAACUCGACAACCUCAGAAGCUUGAAAAUUCAGGUUGUUUCGCUGCCAGAAGAUGGUGCCGAGGUUCUUGCCAGGCUGACCUCGCUGGUUCACCUUACACUGCAUGUUAGCAAGAAUGUUCCCGAGGAAGGCGUCGUCAUCCGCGCCGCAUCUUUCCCAAACCUCAAGGAUUUCGUGUUCAGAUGUGAAGGGAUUUGCCUCGUCUUCGAGGCAGGGGCCAUGCACAAGCUUGAGAGCCUCACCGUGAAGUGCUGCGAAGAAGCAGAGCGGGUACACGGCUGUGCUGAUUUAUUUGGUAGCAUCGGGCAUCUGGGAAGCCUCAUGUCAUUCAAGCUGGAUAUUUACAAGCUGGGUAUUGUUUUGCAAGCCUAUUCUCCUCCACAGCUUCAAACUGGGGGCCUCGACAGUCUCGCGGCCGCGCUCAGGGAGAAAUAUCCGGGGAUUCCUGACAUUCGCAUUCAGCGCAUGUAA
rnacentral:rRNA from 1 species